UUUAAAGCCGCAAAAUUAAGAUAAAUAUCGCAAACUUAAUUCAAGCCUGCGACGUUUGUAUUUAAAAGUCGCAAUUUAUUAAUUAUUAAAAAUCCUUAUUGCCCUAAUUUUCUCCUCUCUCCUUUACCCCUCUCACUCUCUCACUAUUUCUCACAGCACUCUGCCAACGACGACGCGUCCGCCCUUCACCGACGCCACAUUCGCUCUUCUCCGAGGCACCAGGAGCCCACACCAACGCCUGCUCCGCCCUUCGACGACGCCACCUCCGCUCUUCUCCGAGGCACCAGGAGCCCACACCAACGCCUGCUCCGCCCUUCGCCAACGCACCUUCGCCCUUCUCCGAUGCAUCAGGAGCCCACAACAACGCCACCUUCGCCCUUCGCCGCGCCACCUCCGUUGUCACACCUCCGCCGACGCUAAUCAAUUGGUUAGUAGUUGGAUUUCACCGUUUUUUGUUGCACACUGCCACGCCACGCCAUUCGCUGCUCGCCGCUGUACAUUACCAAUUCUUUGAGCUUUACUAUUCAUUGUCGCGAACCACUCGUUCCCCGCUGCGUCUGCUCUUUACCUUGGUGCAGAUUUUAAACUUUAGCAUGUCAAGGCACUCUCAACUCCCUCUUUCCUCUCCGAAAGAAAACCAUUGUCCCCCAUGCUAACAACAUCGAGGUUUCACUACCUUAUCUAAGUAUUUCAAGUUCCGUUCAAGGGAUUUCGGACAUAGCAAUGGAAGAAAAACUAUUGCAUCAGUUUUAUAGCCGGUGUAGCCAAUGGGAUUUUCGAUUAGCUUCAGGAAAGAUAACGAGUCAUUCAAGGUUGUUACUGCUUCAUAUAGCUAUUCGUCGUUUCCAUAUUAUUUCCUCAUGCUACGUCUUUCUUUAUUAUCUGCUAACUGCAAGAUUCAAGGAUCAUAUAUGAAUUUUAAGGAUUGAAUAUUGAUUGAGCACUCCUUAACUAUGCAAUUUGUGCGAAUGAGAGUGGACAACAAUAUUCCUUUGUCGGCAACUAACUCUUAUGAAGAUGAAGGAGAAAAUUGAGAUCAACUGAUCUUCUAUUUGUAAUGCUACAAGCCUACGACAUUAACAUUUUGUGUAUUUUAAUUUCAUAUUUGGAUGAUUUAUUUUUAUUGUUGGAUGAUUUAACUUAAGGAUAUAAAAUUUCAGUUGUUCAU